CAUGGCUGUUCAAUAAAGAACUAUGUUACUACAUUUUGACUCCAAGAAAACGUCUUUUUCAGCUGGUUAACGACACACAACCUUUCCGGAACCAUGUGGUUG